AGUGAACGCUGGCGGUAGGCCUAACACAUGCAAGUCGUACGGCAGCACAGAGGAGCUUGCUCCUUGGGUGGCGAGUGGCGGACGGGUGAGGAAUACAUCGGAAUCUACUCUGUCGUGGGGGAUAACGUAGGGAAACUUACGCUAAUACCGCAUACGACCUAAGGGUGAAAGCAGGGGAUCUUCGGACCUUGCGCGAUUGUAUGAGACGAUGUCGGAUUAGCUAGUUGGCGGGGUGAAGGCCCAACAAGGCGACGAUCCGUAGCUGGUCUGAGAGGAUGAUCAGCCACACUGGAACUGAGACACGGUCCAGACUCCUACGGGAGGCAGCAGUGGGGAAUAUUGGACAAUGGGCGCAAGCCUGAUCCAGCCAUACCGCGUGGGUGAAGAAGGCCUUCGGGUUGUAAAGCCCUUUUGUUGGGAAAGAAAUCCAUCUGGUUAAUACCCGGAUGGGAUGACGGUACCCAAAGAAUAAGCACCGGCUAACUUCGUGCCAGCAGCCGCCGUAA
rnacentral:rRNA from 1 species